GGCUUGGUCAUGAACAUUCUGCCAAACUCAAGGUACCAUUUGCUCUGAAAAGUCUCCACAAGUUUUCAUACAAAAGGUGACACCCAGCUUUGCCGUGAAGAGUCACUUCCUACCAACAAGGCUCUGACCAGAUCUGUUCCCUGGACUUUUGACUUCCCAGCCUCCAAAGCUAGACCAAAACAAUGGAGGCUAAGAAUGGUUACAUCACUGCAUUGAAAUUGAACAGCCUAGGACUGCUGCAUCAGGGAUUUGAACUCCUGGACCUACACAUGAAACAAGGGAUGUGCUCUCUGCCUGUGGGAUGAAGCAUGAAACUGGCAGGAGCUCCAAGGAAGAGAGGUGACAAAGAGAGUGCAACAGGUAACACUUUGUCAUGGAAAUGCUACUCUCAAGACCUGAAAGUGACUGAGUAAGAAGAUGUGAAAGACGCUUAUGGAGCUUCUAUGUAAUUUU